rnacentral:rRNA from 1 species
AGCGGCGGACGGGUGAGUAAUGUCUGGGAAACUGCCUGAUGGAGGGGGAUAACUACUGGAAACGGUAGCUAAUACCGCAUAACGUCGCAAGACCAAAGUGGGGGACCUUCGGGCCUCAUGCCAUCAGAUGUGCCCAGAUGGGAUUAGCUAGUAGGUGGGGUAACGGCUCACCUAGGCGACGAUCCCUAGCUGGUCUGAGAGGAUGACCAGCCACACUGGAACUGAGACACGGUCCAGACUCCUACGGGAGGCAGCAGUGGGGAAUAUUGCACAAUGGGCGCAAGCCUGAUGCAGCCAUGCCGCGUGUAUGAAGAAGGCCUUCGGGUUGUAAAGUACUUUCAGCGGGGAGGAAGGCGAUAAGGUUAAUAACCUUGUCGAUUGACGUUACCCGCAGAAGAAGCACCGGCUAACUCCGUGCCAGCAGCCGCGGUAAUACGGAGGGUGCAAGCGUUAAUCGGAAUUACUGGGCGUAAAGCGCACGCAGGCGGUCUGUCAAGUCGGAUGUGAAAUCCCCGGGCUCAACCUGGGAACUGCAUUCG